rnacentral:sRNA from 1 species
AUAUGAACAACGCAAAAAACAACAUUCUCGAGACACGAUAUUUGGUGCGAGGUAGCUCUACAGUGGCCCACGAACACUGAAGUUCUCGGACAGAAUGGAGAGAGAAACCCAACGAACAAUCUUGGGUGCGAUGCUUCUCUGUCCUUCGGGGCGGUGGGAAGGAGCGCAAUGAUUGAACGUACAU